rnacentral:rRNA from 1 species
ACGAACGCUGGCGGCGUGCUUAACACUUGCAAGUCGAACGGAAAGGCCCUGCUUUUGUGGGGUGCUCGAGUGGCGAACGGGUGAGUAACACGUGAGUAACCUGCCCUUGACUUUGGGAUAACUUCAGGAAACUGGGGCUAAUACCGGAUAGGAGCUCCUGCUGCAUGGUGGGGGUUGGAAAGUUUCGGCGGUUGGGGAUGGACUCGCGGCUUAUCAGCUUGUUGGUGGGGUAGUGGCUUACCAAGGCUUUGACGGGUAGCCGGCCUGGGAGGGUGACCGGCGACGGUGGGACGGGGAUACGGCACAGAGUCCUACGGGGGGCAGCAGUGGGGAAUUGUGCACAAUGGGCGGAAGCCUUAUGCAGCAACUCCGCGUGCGGGAUGACGGCCUUCGGGUUGUAAACCGCUUUCGCCUGUGACGAAGCGUGAGUGACGGUAAUGGGUAAAGAAGCACCGGCUAACUACGUG